ACGAACGCUGGCGGCGUGCCUAAUACAUGCAAGUCGAACGAACCGCGACUAGGUGCUUGCACUUGGUCAAGGUGAGUGGCGAACGGGUGAGUAACACGUGGGUAACCUACCUCAUAGUGGGGGAUAACAGUCGGAAACGACUGCUAAUACCGCAUAGGACAUAGGAUCACAUGAUCCAGUGAGGAAAGGUGGCGCAAGCUAUCGCUAAGAGAUGGACCCGCGGUGCAUUAGCUAGUUGGUAGGGUAAAGGCCUACCAAGGCGAUGAUGCAUAGCCGACCUGAGAGGGUGAUCGGCCACAUUGUGACUGAGACACGGCCCAAACUCCUACGGGAGGCAGCAGUAGGGAAUCUUCCGCAAUGGACGCAAGUCUGACGGAGCAACGCCGCGUGAGUGAAGAAGGUCUUCGGAUCGUAAAGCUCUGUUGUUAGAGAAGAACAGCGCAUAGAGUAACUGUUAUGCGUGUGACGGUAUCUAACCAGAAAGCCACGGCUAACUACGUG
rnacentral:rRNA from 1 species